rnacentral:rRNA from 1 species
CGUGGGUAACCUGCCCAAGAGAUCGGGAUAACACCUGGAAACAGAUGCUAAUACCGGAUAACAACAGAUGAUGCCUAUCAACUGUUUAAAAGAUGGUUCUGCUAUCACUCUUGGAUGGACCUGCGGUGUAUUAGCUAGUUGGUAGGGUAACGGCCUACCAAGGCGAUGAUGCAUAGCCGAGUUGAGAGACUGAUCGGCCACAUUGGGACUGAGACACGGCCCAAACUCCUACGGGAGACAGCAGCU